AGGCUAUGAUGACAAACAACAUUUCUCGAUUCUGAUUUAUGCUGUUUGGUAAUGUACCAAAAAGCGACGAUACAACACUUGUGUUGUUCUCUGAUGACUGCGUUUGUGCGUGUCUGAGCCUU